UCUGCUAUUAUAAAUCUAAACUACAUCUCUCAUGUAGCUUUGAAUUUGGACAUCAGAACUCCUUUAUAUACAAUAGAAAAGAUAUAUAGCUGUUUAAUACUUGUUAUAAUCUGGCACAGAAAAAUUGUUACUGUUGUAAUUGGAAGACUUAUGCUCUGAUGUGUUCUUAUCCCAGCGUUGGCCAAUUCAUACUGAGAGCAAACUGCCAUCUGACCAGAGUUUUAGUUUUUCUUCUACUGGGACAUGUUUCCUCUCUGGGUUUAGAGCGAGGCAUUCGGUGGCGCUCCACUCCUGAUCCUGACCAGCGCUCUGUUCUGACCGCUGCAGGUGACAAUCCUGCUGAACUCUGACCCGAGUGGAAACCGCUGUGACAGACGACCCGCUGACUCUUUGAAGACCUGUGAACACGAGAGGAUGUCUGUGCUCGCUGAAGUGGCCAUUCAGGGAUCAGAAGAGCGUUUUGUCCCAGAAUGCAGUGCAGAUGGGCGGUACAGAGCCGUUCAGGACACUGCUGGUGCGUGAGAGUGGACUCAGGACGGCCUGUGCCGGGCACUUCAGCCAUAUAGAGAGAUUGUGUUUGUGUGUUAGUGAGUGUUGAAAACUGAAAACAUGAUUCUGUACUGUGUGGAGGAACCAAUUGCCUGACUGCAGCCCUCAGGAAACACACGCUCAUCAUCAACAACAACUGCUACACCCAAACCCCUCUCUCAGGUCAGAUCUCAGACUGGACAUGAUAAGUUGCACCCAGAAUGGGAAGAAUGUCAAAAUGUUGGGACAACAUGCCUUUACUCUUCUAAACCCAAACCAAGUUGUUCAUACCGGUGUUGUGUCGUAUAGGACAUACUUGUGUUUCUGGAAUAAAAAAGGUGAUUUAAAGGUAAUAUCUUAAACUCAAAAAAGUUUAAGUCUGAAGUUUAAGUUAGCAAAAAAGUCUGAAUUGUAAGAUACUAACCCAGCAUUGAGAGGGAAAAAAAAGUCUGAAUUGAGAAACUCAGAACUGAGA